AGAGGGAACAGAGAGCAGGGUCCCAGGACAGAAGAGGACAUAUUUUGCCUGCUUAACUUGACAAUCACGGUCAGGGACUGCAAUGGCCUGUGCGUGUGCCAGCUGGAGCAAGAGGCUGGCAUUGAUCCUCAUCUCAGCGAUAGUUUGUCUUCACUGAAAAGCUGUUGUUCUUUUAAAAACCAAGUGCUUUGCCUCUGUGGGAACCUAAGCCUGGAUUUUGUUCAGUCCACAAGAAGAAAUUGGUGCAGAAUUCAAGAGUGU
rnacentral:lncRNA from 1 species